rnacentral:rRNA from 1 species
AUAAAGUUUAAUUCUAGUUUAAAGAUUUAUUUAAUUUUUUUUUUACAUGUAAAUUUUUGUAGGAUGUUAGUUAAAUUUUAAAAAUUUAAUUAAAAUAAUUUAUUCGCAGUAUUUAAUUUUAAUAAUUUAAGAAAUUAAGAAUUAGAAAUAAAUUUUAAUAUUAACAAAUUUUGUGCCAGCAGUUGCGGUUAUACAAAAGAUAUAAAUGAAUUUUAUUAGUAAAUAAUUAUAUGGAUUAUUGAUAAAUUAAAAUAGUAUUUAUUAGGUGAAAUUUUAAGUAUUAAAUUAAUUUAUAAAAAAGUUUUUAUUAUUAUGAAAUUUAUAUUUAAACUAGGAUUAGAUACCCUAUUAUUUUAAAUGUAAAAAGUUUUACUUAAGUAGUAUUAGUUAUGUUCUUGAAAUUUAAAGAUUUUGGCGGUAUUUUAGUCUAUUUAGAGGAACCUGUUCUGUAAUUGAUAAUCCACGAUUAACUUUACUUAUUUUAUAAAUUUGUAUACCGUCGUUAUUAGAAAAUUUUAGCAGAAAAUAAAUUUUUAAUAUUUUAAAUUAAAAAAUAUAUCAGAUCAAGGUGCAGUAUAUAUCUAAGAAGAAAUGGGUUACAAUAAAUUUAUUUAUACGGAUUAAAGUAAGAAUAAACUUUAUGAAGGUGGAUUUAAUAGUAAUAAAAUUUAAUUAAAUUUUAUGAUUUUAGCUCUAAAAUAUGUACAUAUCGCCCGUCGCUCUUAUUAUAAGGUAAGAUAAGUCGUAACAUAGUAGAUGUACUGGAAAGUGUAUCUAGAAUGAA